rnacentral:lncRNA from 1 species
CACGGUGGCCCUCUGUCAAUUAUGGUGGAAGAAGGGGGGGUUCUUUGUCUUAGGGAAGAAAAAGAAGGCAGAGGGCCUUCCGACCUCUGCCGACUUUUUCUUUCAUCCCUCCCUCUCUUGGCCGGCCAUCAUCGCCGGAGUGGUGGCCGAUGAUGGUUCGACCAAUGGUGGCCGAGUUGUUGUCGGGUUGGGGAAGGAGAGGGCACAGCCACCAUGGCUGUUGCCCUUGGAUCAAAAAGAUUUGAGGAAGAGAGAUGUACUCCCAACCAUGAAGAGAG